rfam:Capsicum annuum cultivar Zunla-1 chromosome 2, whole genome shotgun sequence
UAAUGAUGAUGAGGGCAAUAAUGGAGAAUGGACUAAAACCUUUCCCAAGAUUGGCACAGAUUCUCACCAUCUUUCUGCCUAAAACUCAAAAUUGUACUUCUCAACCA